AAAUUAGUGAAUUUCGUUAGCUGAUGCGGUUGGUUAACAGUGUUUUUGUCGGUGUGGAUCCCCGGCUUAAGAUGACUCCAAAGCGCGGCGCGGCCUUCCCCAAGAGAGGAGACUUCUUGGGUCACCCCCUAACCCUGAUGUUCGGGCAUCGAUGACCUGUGUAGCAUGCAGAGGUACCCAAGGGAGUCACCACCCUCUGGUUUACGAGCUAGGUGUUCUAAUGCUAGAGGCUUCGGCCGGAUACAACCUGGCACCCAAGCUCCGAGACUUCUUCGUGCACGUAUUCCGUGACCCUCGAAGAGGCAGGGGGCGGGAUAUCGGACACAUUGAAGAUGAUGAGGGGGGUCCGCCUGUAGGGGGUCCCGGUGGAUGUCUGUCCGACGGGUGACGAGGGUGACCCCAGACGAGGCGGCUUAAUUGGGAUGGGAACUGACUGGUGAGGCUUAAUCGUCGACCAAUGGGUCGAAUCUGCAUAAGGAAGGCAACCAGCACACACUCGCAGGCGGGUCGUGGAAACAUUUUUUUGUUUUUUUCUCUUGGUCUGCCCCGCGUCGAAUUUUGAAGGCAGAAAAUGUCGGUAGGAGGCGAGCAUAACCAGGCCUAACUUAAACCUGUUAAAAGACAACCCGGGUUCGCAGCGCGAUUUUAAAAAACUAAGAAGUCAGAAAUUCUAUCUACAUGCUGAAUAUGAUCAGUCCCAAAAAAUUUCGGAUUGUUCCAGGCACCGUCGAAUACCUGGAAAACGUGCUUAUUGUCAACUCUACAGGAUCGACCGAAGUCCAUGGAGUUGGGGGCGUUCGAUGUGCCCCAUAGCAGUGAGACGCCACUGUUUUUUUCGCCGUAUAAUUAUUAUGGUGGGACUGAAAAUGAACUUAAGCAAGAUGAGAUGGUGAUACAGUAUGGCUUGGAGAACUUCAAAAGUCGGUUCGCGUCGUGGUUCCAAAGUAGUAACUUUAGGUUCCCUACAUUUACAGAAUGUCGCAUUAAGUACUCAUUUAUUAAUUUGCAAUUUUUACAUUUCAUUUUUACUUUUUUUCUUACUCUAUACAAGGCUUUAAUAUAAGGUUUUUUAGUAAUAAUAAAUGGGUAAUAAAAAAAUAACUCCAAAGACAUAAAAUUAGGUAGCAUAUUGUUUUUCUAUUAUAUUU